ACAGUUCAGUAUCUAUUCUUGGGGGGCAGGGCUGGAGUACACAGUUCAGUGUCUAUUCUCGGGGGCAGGGCUGCACUCCCAUGUCGUUUUACGCCAAGGUGUGAUGAUCCCCCCACUGGGAAAUAAGUUCAUAUCUGCCAUGUGAACUUUUUCCAACUCCUGCAGACAACGAGGGUCGAAGAAGAAGUCAAGACUGUUGGCAAUUCUUCCUUCAAGUAAGGGGAUCUUGUAGCAUGAUGGUUAACCUUGCCUGUCAAUUUGAGUGACUGAGCGACUGACUAAGUCUCCUGUGUGGGUCUCCACUGGUGUUUCCUGGAAGUGUUAACUGAGCGCAGGAUGUCAGGCAGCACUUUCUGGAGACGACCCAGUGAUUAGGAGGGCUUGAGGGGGGAAACCUGCUGCAUUUUGCCUGCUUGACUUUGGUCCCUGCUGGUGAGUGCGACCUUCAUUGCUGCUUCUGCCUGCACCAUCCCUUUCUGACCUCAAAGCCAAGCUUCCAGCAUGGGCUGAAGACCGGCUGCUCUCCAGGAAUCCUUCAGUCUUUCAAUACUAGGACUGAAACUGCUCUUGUGAAUUGAGAAGCUAGCAGAUUCCAAGCAUCAGAAGACAGCUGGUUUUGGAUGGCUUGACCCGAAGCAUAUAAACUAAUCUAAUAAAUUCUCCCCUCUCCCUCUCCUCCCUCUCCCUCCCCCGUGCACGCACCUUCCCUCCCACACACCCCAGUUCUAUAUACAUGGCUUGGCAUCAGCCUCCAGCCUAACAGGUACACAUCACAAAGACGUAGCAACGAAGACUCCUCAGUUCUGUUUAAUAGGUUCUGAGAAGCUCACGGUGCACAUGUUUCCUUCUAGAACCUCUCCAUGUCCCUCACUGAGGAAUAUUCCAGGCUGUUUUCCUUUUGUUCCUUCACCUUCUUCCUAAUGAUGAGGAAGAGGAAAUGUCAAGGCUAGAAUGCUCUCAGAUUUCUGAAUAGCUGGGCCUAGCCUGCUGGCCACUCACAUGAGAGCCAUCUUUCUGCCGCUGAAUCUGUUUCCCUGCUGCAGAUCCCUUCACGGGCGAUAGAGCCAGCGUUUCCAGUCUUCCAUCAUUGACUACGGACCAGCUGCUCUCCAGGAACACUCCAGGGUCUUGAUACCAAAUUGGGAAAUGCUGAGGCACUAUCCUCAUGUACCAGAGGAACUGCUAGCUUGUCGUCCUCUCUGGUAUGAGGCAGCCCUUGUGGGACCCUUCCAACUACUCAGGCAUGUCGUCUCCAGGACCUAGCAACUAGCAAGUGUUACUAUUUCAAGAUUUAUCCAAUGAAGAGGAAAGAGGGUGAAUGGAAAAAUGUGGAAGAAAGUAUGAAGAUGAGAUGGGGCAGUCCCUAGAUGGAGAUGACUUUGUACUUACCUCAGAGAUUUAAUGAGUGGACAAAAAAGGAAAUCAAGAAGAGGACCCAGAUUCAGUCCCUUGCACCCAUGUGACAGAUGACAGCCAUCUGCAACUCGAGGACCAGGAGAUACAGUCCUUUCCUCUGGCCUCCGUGGGCAUCAGGCAUAUGUACACACAGCUGAGAAAACAAACAAAACUACAGCCGUAGUGAUGUCCAUCUCAUUCUUCUAGGGAACAGUCACUGAUUCAUCGGACAAAUGGAAAAGACAGAUUGGAUGGCUACAUCAUGAUCCACCCCACUGAGCACAGCACGGACAGGCUCUUUCAUAGCUGCAACCGCCUUGGAAAUAGAGCAUUUGCUCUGAGUAUCUGUAGACUGUUUCACAUGAAGACUUUUUUUAUUCAUCAUUCUUUGACACUGAGAUUUUUUUUCUUGACCAUAGGUGGGUGGCACAUCCAACAGCUAUGCGAAUCAAAGCCUUCUGAAAAUAAAUCUUAAGGAAAUUUAUUUCAAAACGAUUUUCAUAUAAUAUAAUUUUAUCACUUAUUAAACACUCAGGUGAAUCUGCCUGUUA